GAUGAACGCUCGCGGCAGGCCUAACACAUGCAAGUCGAGGGAGAGGUUACCUUCGGGUAACCAAAACCGGCGCACGGGUGCGUAACGCGUAUACAAUCUGCCUUUCACAUAGGGAUAGCCCGAAGAAAUUUGGAUUAAUACCUAAUGGUAUAUAAGAGCGGCAUCGUUUUUAUAUUAAAGCUACGGUGGUGAAAGAUGAGUAUGCGUUCUAUUAGCUAGUUGGAGAGGUAACGGCUCCCCAAGGCGACGAUAGAUAGGGGUUCUGAGAGGGAUGUCCCCCACACUGGUACUGAGAUACGGACCAGACUCCUACGGGAGGCAGCAGUGAGGAAUAUUGGACAAUGGUCGGAAGACUGAUCCAGCCAUGCCGCGUGCAGGAUGAAGGUCCUAUGGAUUGUAAACUGCUUUUGUAAGGGAAGAAUAAGGAGUACGUGUACUUUGAUGACGGUACCUUACGAAUAAGCAGCGGCUAACUCCGUG
rnacentral:rRNA from 1 species